AUUGAACGCUGGCGGCAGGCUUAACACAUGCAAGUCGAGCGGUAACAGAGAGAAGCUUGCUUCUCUGCUGACGAGCGGCGGACAGGUGAGUAAUGCCUAGGAAUCUGCCUAGUAGUGGGGGAUAACUUGCCGAAAGGUAAGCUAAUACCGCAUACGUCCUACGGGAGAAAGGAGGGGACCUUCGGGCCUUUCGCUAUUAGAUGAGCCUAGGUCGGAUUAGUUAGUUGGUGAGGUAAUGGCUCACCAAGACCGCGAUCCGUAACUGGUCUGAGAGGAUGAUCAGUCACACUGGAACUGAGACACGGUCCAGACUCCUACGGGAGGCAGCAGUGGGGAAUAUUGGACAAUGGGGGGAACCCUGAUCCAGCCAUGCCGCGUGUGUGAAGAAGGUCUUAGGAUUGUAAAGCACUUUAAGUUGGGAGGAAGAGCAGUUAACUAAUAUUUGACUGUUUUGACGUUACCGACAGAAUAAGCACCGGCUAACUUCGUG
rnacentral:rRNA from 1 species